rnacentral:rRNA from 1 species
UACGUAGGGGGCAAGCGUUGUCCGGAAUCAUUGGGCGUAAAGCGCGUGUAGGCGGCCCGAUAAGUCCGCUGUGAAAAGUCCAGGGCUCAACCCUGGGAUGCCGGUGGAUACUGUCGGGCUCGAGUCCGGAAGAGGAGUGUGGAAUUCCUGGUGUAGCGGUGAAAUGCGCAGAUAUCGAGGAAGAACACCCGUGGCGAAGGCGGUUCUCUGGAACGCAACUGACGCUGAGACGCGAAAGCGUGGGGAGCAAACAGG